rnacentral:rRNA from 1 species
AUUGAACGCUGGCGGCAGGCCUAACACAUGCAAGUCGAGCGGAUGAGAGGAGCUUGCUCCUCGAUUCAGCGGCGGACGGGUGAGUAAUGCCUAGGAAUCUGCCCAGUAGUGGGGGACAACGUUUCGAAAGGAACGCUAAUACCGCAUACGUCCUACGGGAGAAAGUGGGGGAUCUUCGGACCUCACGCUAUUGGAUGAGCCUAGGUCGGAUUAGCUAGUUGGUAGGGUAAAGGCCUACCAAGGCGACGCUCCGUAACUGGUCUGAGAGGAUGAUCAGUCACACUGGAACUGAGACACGGUCCAGACUCCUACGGGAGGCAGCAGUGGGGAACAUUGGACAAUGGGCGCAAGCCUGAUCCAGCCAUGCCGCGUGUGUGAAGAAGGCCCUCGGGUCGUAAAGCACUUUAAGUUGGGAGGAAGGGCUUACAGCGAAUACCUGUGAGUUUUGACGUUACCGACAGAAUAAGCACCGGCUAACUUCGUGCCAGCCGCCGCAGUAA